rnacentral:rRNA from 1 species
AGAGUUUGAUCCUGGCUCAGGAUGAACGCUGGCGGCGUGCCUAAUACAUGCAAGUCGAACGAGGAGCUUUUGUAUUCGUACGAGGGUUUCCUAGUGGCGAACGGGUGAGUAACGCGUUGGUGACCUGCCCCGAAGUGAGGGAUAACAGUUCGAAAGGGCUGCUAAUACCUCAUGUGGUCACGAGGGUUAGAGACCUUGUGUCUAAAGGAGCAAUUCGCUUCGGGAGGGGCCUGCGUCCCAUCAGCUAGUUGGUAGGGUAAUGGCCUACCAAGGCGACGACGGGUAGGGGGCCUGAGAGGGUGACCCCCCACACUGGCACUGAAACACGGGCCAGACACCUACGGGUGGCAGCAGUAGGGAAUAUUGCACAAUGGGCGAAAGCCUGAUGCAGCAACGCCGCGUGCACGAAGAAGGCCUUCGGGUUGUAAAGUGCUUUUCUGGAGGAAGAGGAAGGACGGUACUCCAGGAAUAAGGAUCGGCUAACUACGUGCCAGCAGCCGCGGUAACACGUAGGAUCCGAGCGUUAUCCGAAUUUACUGGGCGUAAAGCGCGUGUAGGCGGUUGGGUAAGUUGGACGUGAAAGCUCCUGGCUCAACUGGGAGAGGUCGUUCAAAACUGCCCGGCUAGAGGGCGACAGAGGGAGGUGGAAUUCCCGGUGUAGUGGUGAAAUGCGUAGAUAUCGGGAGGAACACCAGUGGCGAAGGCGGCCUCCUGGGUCGCACCUGACGCUCAGACGCGAAAGCUAGGGGAGCGAACGGGAUUAGAUACCCCGGUAGUCCUAGCUGUAAACGAUGUGGACUUGGCGUUGGUGGGGUUAAAUCCAUCAGUGCCGGAGCUAACGCGAUAAGUCCACCGCCUGGGGACUACGGUCGCAAGAUUAAAACUCAAAGGAAUUGACGG